AGCGAACGCUGGCGGCAGGCCUAACACAUGCAAGUCGAGCGCCCCGCAAGGGGAGCGGCAGACGGGAGAGUAACACGUGGGAACGUACCCUUCAGUUCGGAACAACCCAGGGAAACUUGGGCUAAUACCGGAUACGUCCGUAAGGAGAAAGAUCUAUCGCUGAAGGAUCGGCCCGCGUCCGAUUAGCUAGUUGGUGAGGUAACGGCUCACCAAGGCGACGAUCGGUAGCUGGUCUGAGAGGAUGAUCAGCCUCACUGGGACUGAGACACGGCCCAGACUCCUACGGGAGGCAGCAGUGGGGAAUAUUGGACAAUGGGCGCAAGCCUGAUCCAGCCAUGCCGCGUGGAUGAUGAAGGCCCUAGGGUUGUAAAGUCCUUUCGGCGGGGAAGAUAAUGACGGUACCCGCAGAAGAAGCCCCGGCUAACUUCGUGCCAGCCGCCGCAGUAAGAC
rnacentral:rRNA from 1 species